UAUUGCAGUAGUGACUCUUUUCUUGAGGGCAAAACAUUACUAAGCAUGUGGAGUUGCCUCUGGCUAAAGCCAUUUUAAGCAAGAGAGUUAGUAUGAGCGAGGCAAAGGUCCUUUCUUCUUUCUAGAUUACUAAUGGACUGAGAGCCUUACUCUGCCUGACUACAGACAGUGGGAACUUGGCUAGUGAUCGCUGCAGCAGCAGGACCUGGCGGGUCCUUGCAAGGACAACGCUCUGUGUAAUAAUUCAAAUUUCCUGUGAUUGAUGGAAGCAGGAAGAAUGUCACAAGAGAUCUUAGAAAAAUGGCUUUUCUUCCCGCUAAACCAUUAAGCAUGUGCCUCUGUUGUGAAAUAUAGUGGAACCUCCAAUGCAGGAGCACACCUGUGCAUGUUUGGACUUUGCUGGGAAUACACAUGCUCCCUGGAUGU